rnacentral:tRNA from 1 species
GCCCGGGUGGCGAAAUUGGUAGACGCAGCGGAUUCAAAAUCCGCCGCUGGUGACAGUGUGCCGGUUCAAGUCCGGCCCCGGGCA